UAUGAGAGUUUGAUCCUGGCUCAGGACGAACGCUGGCGGCGUGCCUAAUACAUGCAAGUAGAACGCUGAAGGAGGAGCUUGCUUCUCUGGAUGAGUUGCGAACGGGUGAGUAACGCGUAGGUAACCUGCCUGGUAGCGGGGGAUAACUAUUGGAAACGAUAGCUAAUACCGCAUAAGAGUGGAUGUUGCAUGACAUUUGCUUAAAAGGUGCACUUGCAUCACUACCAGAUGGACCUGCGUUGUAUUAGCUAGUUGGUGGGGUAACGGCUCACCAAGGCGACGAUACAUAGCCGACCUGAGAGGGUGAUCGGCCACACUGGGACUGAGACACGGCCCAGACUCCUACGGGAGGCAGCAGUAGGGAAUCUUCGGCAAUGGACGAAAGUCUGACCGAGCAACGCCGCGUGAGUGAAGAAGGUUUUCGGAUCGUAAAACUCUGUUGUUAGA
rnacentral:rRNA from 1 species